AUUGAACGCUGGCGGCAGGCCUAACACAUGCAAGUCGAGCGGAUGAAGGGAGCUUGCUCCUGGAUUCAGCGGCGGACGGGUGAGUAAUGCCUAGGAAUCUGCCUGGUAGUGGGGGAUAACGUCCUGAAACGGGCGCUAAUACCGCAUACGUCCUGAGGGAGAAAGUGGGGGAUCUUCGGACCUCGCGCUAUCAGAUGAGCCUAGGUCGGAUUAGCUAGUUGGUGGGGUAAAGGCCUACCAAGGCGACGAUCCGUAACUGGUCUGAGAGGAUGAUCAGUCACACUGGAACUGAGACACGGUCCAGACUCCUACGGGAGGCAGCAGUGGGGAAUAUUGGACAAUGGGCGAAAGCCUGAUCCAGCCAUGCCGCGUGUGUGAAGAAGGUCUUCGGAUUGUAAAGCACUUUAAGUUGGGAGGAAGGGCAGUAAGUUAAUACCUUGCUGUUUUGACGUUACCAACAGAAUAAGCACCGGCUAACUUCGUG
rnacentral:rRNA from 1 species